rnacentral:rRNA from 1 species
GUGCCAGCAGCCGCGGUAAUACGGAGGGUGCAAGCGUUGUCCGGAUUUAUUGGGUUUAAAGGGUGCGUAGGCGGCUGUUUAAGUCAGUGGUGAAAGACUCCGGCUCAACCGGAGCAGUGCCAUUGAUACUGGAUAGCUUGAGUAUUGGAGGGGUACAUGGAAUUGAUGGUGUAGCGGUGAAAUGCAUAGAUACCAUCAGGAACACCGAUAGCGAAGGCAUUGUACUGGCCAAUAACUGACGCUGAUGCACGAAAGCAUGGGUAGCGAACAGGAUUAGAUACCCUGGUAGUCCAUGCCGUAAACGAUGAUUACUCGCUGUUAUGCCCUUGUGGUGUAGCGGCCAAGCGAAAGCGUUAAGUAAUCCACCUGGGGAGUACGCUCGCAAGAGUGAAACUCAAAGGAAUUGACGG